rnacentral:rRNA from 1 species
UUUCGCAAUGCCCGAAAGGGUGACGAAGCGACGCCGCGUGAGUGAGGAAGGCCUUCGGGUUGUAAAGCUCUGUCAGGAGUUAAGAAAUAUAAGUGUGCUAAUACCACAUUUAUUGACAAAGGCCCCAAAGGAAGUCACGGCUAACUCUGUGCCAGCAGCCGCGGUAAUACAGAGGUGGCAAGCGUUGUUCGGUAUUAUUGGGCGUAAAGAGCACGUAGGUGGUUUUGUAAGUCAGAUGUGAAAGCCUUCUGCUCAACGGAAGAAUUGCAUCUGAAACUGCGAGUCUUGAGUGUAGGAGGGGAGAAUGGAACUUCUGGUGGAGCGGUGAAAUGCGUAGAUAUCAGAAGGAACGUCGGCGGCGAAAGCGACUCUCUGGCCUAUUACUGACACUGAGGUGCGAAAGUUAGGGGAGCAAACGGGAUUAGAUACCCCGGUAGUCCUAACCGUAAACGAUGGGCACUAAGUAGAGGGGUUUUA